AUGGUCAAUUAUGAGCUCCUAGCUCCCCCUGUAGCUCAUGACUCCCAGGAAGAGGAAGGAAGGCAGGUGACACAUGCCCAUCUAGAAGAACUCCAGGCAUUGUGGCUCACACUGUUCCAAGGCAGCGGGGCUGCCAAGGCCUGUGGGCCCCAUCUCUCCCUGAGCUUCUCUGAAGGCUGGCCAGCUGCUAGAGAUCAUGCCUUUGAACAUCGGGGAAAUGAAGAGCUGCUGUUUGCUCCUGCAGUCCUCAUAGACCCUCAGGCACCAGGAAUUUUAGCUGUCCUGAGAGAAGAAAUUAAAAAGACUAAGCAUGAGGUUGUUGCCACAGGGAGCAGGAAAACAGUCUUCUGCCUACAGCUCCUUAUUUUUUUCAGCUGUUCCAUCUCAGCUGCAAGCUUCCUCCUGGCUUUUCACCUUUCAUCCUUAGUGUUUACAGAGAAAACCGGGAUCCCUGGUGAUGAGGGAAAUGUGAGUGGAUUCCUUGCCUGUUCCUGCAGGGAAAUGGAGCAGCUUCAUGGCCUACACCUAGAGCCGAGAGCUGAAGGGGAUGAUGCUUGGGUGAGCUGUGAAAGAAGCAGUCCUGACUGUGUAGCUGAAGCCUGUGUCUCUGCAACUGGCUGGGAACAAACACAAGAAGAACGUGGUCCUGCUCUCAGCUGGGCAUUUGACAGCCGCUCGCUAUGCACCUUGAUUGGUCUCUGCCAGCCUUUCUACCAAUGCUCCACUAUGUUCCUGUGGCCGUAG
rnacentral:lncRNA from 1 species